rnacentral:lncRNA from 1 species
CUUGAGCUCAGAGGCCUGACACCCAGGGCAGGCUGGCUCAGCCCCUUUGACUUCAGAUUUCAGAGAAGGCCAGGGAGCUGGAUUGGGUGCCUAGAUUUUCUGAGAAUUAUGUUUCUGAGAGGAUUUUGAAACCUAAACAGGAAUACUUUACACACAGGUCAUCAAGCAGGAACUGGGAAGUUCCAAAGCUGCCCUCCUUCACGCCACCUCCUCCCUUCAGAGGCCAAGGGCGGCCAAGCUGUCUCCCACACACCUCAGUGAAAAGUCACUGGCUCUCCUCCCAGCCACGUCGCUGUGACCUCGUGAGGUUACCUAACCAAACUCCUGUAAAACCACACCACCUAUGCCUGUGAUGGGGACUAUCUGAAUCUACAGUGCCCUCGGCAUUCUACAAUAAGUGUCCAAUCGGCAUUUUAUGGACAAGAUUACCCAAUGUGUAGUUCCCAGAAGCCUGCCUGCCAGAGGGAAGACAGCUUAACUUGUGUGGCACCCACCACCUUCCAGAUGAAUUAAAAAACAAAACCGUGUGUGAAGACAAGGAGCUGAAACUGCACUGCCAUGAAUCCAAGUUCCUCAACAUCUACUCUGUGACCUAUGGCAGGAGGAUCCAGGAAAGGGACAUGUGCUCCUCCAAGGCAGAGCGGCUCCCCCCCUUUUCAUUCCCAAGAACAUACUCACAGUGAUUGAUCCAGCCAUUGGUAAUCUAAAACCUUCUUUGAAGCAGAAAGAUGGUGAAUAUGGUAUGAACUUCGACCCAAGCGAAUCGAAGGUUCUGAGGAAAGAUGGAAUCCUUGUUAGUGACUCUCUGGCAGCCUUUGCUUACAUUAGAGAUAGG